UGUGUUAUAGUUGUUUCAUUGCGCAAUGGCGCAGUUUUUCUCGCUGAAUUUGCGCUCGCGUCGCAAUACUCGCGCAAGCACAAUUGUUUGUUGCUGCAGCAACCGGGAGCGGCGCACUGCAUUGUGAGACAGCUAUUUCUUUAAAUUUGUUGUUGUCAGGCGCAAAGCCACGCAACAACUUCCGAGGGGAGUGCGGAAAGUAACACGCAUUUGUCUUUAGCGUGUGCUCUGUCUCAUUCAUUGCGAAAAAAAAAAAAAAAAAACACUCGCAUGUGCUGCUCACCGUCGCCGCUGUUGUUUCAGCGGGGCGCGAACAGCCCCGAGCGUCCGUGAAAAAGGCGUUGUUUCCCUGCAGCGUCGUUGCUUUUGCCGCACGCAAAUUCUGUCUGCGGACGUUUGUGGAACCGUCGAACCGAUGAGGCGCAGGUAUGCCGUCCGAACCACGCUGUCAGCCUAGCGCGACCAAUUCCCGCAGCGCGGCCUACGAAGAAUAUCUGCGCAAGCUGAAAACCUGGGAGACCAGCGUCAAGAUGAAAGACGCCCAACUUCGCGCCCUGAAGUCCAAGCUCCAGCCAGCCACGGAGCCCACGCCCGUGAAGAGACUCGCGUCAUCGGAAAAUGAAAAUACGCCGUGUCCUGAGGAUGAAGGGUUGAGAGGUUCAGAGUCCACGGUUGCAUUAGAAACUGUGAUAAAUGAUGAAAGCACGUCAGAAACCAGUGGGAGCGAAGACGAGCAGUUGCAGGCUGAAUGGAAGCGGCAGCGUGCUCUUAUUGAAAAGGAAAAGGGCAACAGACUCUUCAAAGACGGCCGCUAUGAUGAAGCGAUUGAAAGCUAUGGCAUAGGCAUUGAAUGUGACCCAGUGAAUCCAGUGCUCUAUGCCAAUCGGGCCAUGGCAUUCUUGCGUAAAAACAUGCUCGGUGCUGCUGAAGAAGACUGCUGUAGGGCCCUGGAGUGGGACCCAAAAUAUGUCAAGGCCUAUCACAGGCGGGGUCUGGCUCGGCAAGGCCUCUCUAAGAGGGCGCUCGCCGCAGAGGACUUCCGCAUGGUGCUCUCCCUCGAACCAAACAACAAGGAAGCAAGGCAGCACCUGACUAAACUAGAAAAGGAAUUGAAGAGUGGAGGUGGUGACACGGUCGCAACAGAGCCUUCCUCGCUCGCCCAGUCUUCGAAUGCCAAAGAACCAGCAGCUCGAGCUGAAAAGCCGCCGAAGAAGGGCUCUGCCACUGGGAAGGCAUCCCUGCCCAUCAGAGCGGUGACCGCAGUUAAAGUGGAACCCCUGAGCAGCCCUCGAAACAGGAGAGCAGCAGAAAAACCGCUGAAGAGGGUGCCCAUUCAUGAUGUGCCAGGUGGAACACCUUUGAAGAAGAGGUGGGUGGCAGCAAGGAAGACGCACGAACCGGAGCUCCCACCACCUGCGCCGACUUCGUAUCAGUUUCAGGUUGACUGGAAGCAGCUCGCACCAUUUCCUGAGCUGCGCUACAAAUACCUCCAGCAAAUAGACCCGAGCAAAUUGGAACAUUUUUUAAAGAGUCGAUGGAGACUGAGCUCUUUUGUGACAUCUUAUGCAUCCUGGAGAACCAAUUUGUGAGGGAUGGUGUAGAUAUCCACCCCAUUUUGAGCAGCCUCCCAAAAGUGGGCCGCUUCUCAACGUUAGUCAUGUUCCUUGGAAGUGAAGACAAAAAGCGACUGGCGAGGCUACUAGCCAUUGCCUCAAAAGUCGAUCCUGGUCUCGCACUCCACUAUGGAUUGUGAUGGGAGAGGUGGAGAGUCGUUAUGUUGCUAUAAAAGCACAGAUCAUACUCAUUGUUGCCACGAGUCACUCUGAAAGCUUCAUGCAAAAUUUUUUUUGCACUGUAAAAAGAAUGCAAACUCCUCACCACAACAUUGUUGCACAUUCUUUGCUCACUGCUUUGUAGACUGUUGGUGUUUUAAAUAAAUGUGUUUUGAAAAAUCGCA